UUAUGAAAGACAAGGGAGGAAAUCAAUAUAAGUUGCCCCACUUGCACAAGGAUCGCGUUCAGAAUGCUGGAAUGGAAAUAACCGGUGUAUAUUGCGACAGUCGGGUAGUUGUUGAUACUAGGGCCCUUAUAGAAGAAAUGGAAAUUGCAAUAGGAAAAGAAAAUGAAAGGAAAGAAUUAGCUAGAGAAGGGAAAAUAAAGAAAAGUAAAGGGAAGGGGAGGGAAGAAGUGGCCAGAGAAAGGAAAAGAAUGUAGUCAAAAGGGGGCAAAGAGGCCCUUAUGUCAUGUAGUCAGGUGCUCCUUGUGUAUGUCUUGUGUAAUCUUGUGUCAAGAGGGGACAAAGAUGCCCUUAUGUCAUGUAGUCAGGUGCUCC